AAAUUGAAGAGUUUGAUCAUGGCUCAGAUUGAACGCUGGCGGCAGGCCUAACACAUGCAAGUCGAACGGUAACAGGAAGAAGCUUGCUUCUUUGCUGACGAGUGGCGGACGGGUGAGUAAUGUCUGGGAAACUGCCUGAUGGAGGGGGAUAACUACUGGAAACGGUAGCUAAUACCGCAUAACGUCGCAAGACCAAAGAGGGGGACCUUCGGGCCUCUUGCCAUCG
rnacentral:rRNA from 1 species